rnacentral:rRNA from 1 species
UACAGAGGCCUCGAGCGUUAGGCGGAAUCACUGGGCUUAAAGCGUGUGUAGGCGGACGUCUAAGUACCUUGUGAAAUCCCACGGCUUACCCGUGGAACGGCUGGGUAUACUGGUUGUCUUGAGCCACUUAGGGGCUACCGGAACAAAUGGUGGAGCGGUGAAAUGCGUAGAUAUCAUUUGGAACGCCAAUGGUGAAAACAGGUAGCUGGGAGUGUGCUGACGCUGAGACACGAAAGCCAGGGGAGCGAACGGG